AUGCUCACUUCAGCAGCACAUCUACUAAAAUUGGAACGAUACAAAGAAGAUUAGCAUGGCCCCUGCGCAAGAAUGACAUGCAAAUUCAUGAAGCAUUCCAUAUUUUU
rnacentral:snRNA from 1 species